rnacentral:ncRNA from 2 species
AAAAUGCCGCUUCUGUUCGGUUCGACGAAACGGAACACGGUGCAAAUCCGUGGCGGGCCCGCCGCUGUAUCCGGGGACGGACGUUGCAAGGUUGCAAGACCAGCCACUGACGGGGAUCACCCCGGCGGGAAGGCGCAGCGAUCCGGCUGAUCCGGUAGCCAGAAGACGUGUCGAACCGGUGCGGAGUCA